ensembl:lncRNA
GGCUCUCCCUGCAUCCCCCCUCUGGGGCUGGCAAUCCCCUCCCUCCAGCUCCAGGGCUGAGCAUCCCUCCUGCCCAAAGUCCCUUCCUCAGGCUGCGGGCAGGCUGCAGGGCAGCAGUUCCCCAGUUCCUCUGCCCGCCGUGCCGCCUGCAGAUCCCCAGCACCGUGCCUGCCUUGGAGGGCAUCCAGCACACUCACUGCAACCCCAGACAAACAAACAGCAGUUGUGCAAGGGUGCGGGGCAGGCAUCUCCGGCAGGAAACAAAGCGCAGGACUUGCUCUAUUUUAAUCCUGCCAAGGGUCUUCUUGGAAGCGAGGCAGAGCCCGGCUGUGCAGAGUUAAGAAUGAAACCCUAUUUUUAGCCUGUCCCUGGUGAGAACCACAGAGCAUCUGGGGCUGAGUGAGCAACCUCACUGCAAAACCCAACUGGGAGAGCUGGAGCGAGCGCUGCGGGGACUUCGGGAGGCAUGUCUGCAGGUAUCUGAGCACUGCUGCUUUUCAAAGCCAAAGGACUGCUGUUAAUAUUCAUGGGAAGGAAGAUGAAAAGGCACUGGAGGAGGGAGCGCGUGGCGGGGUACCGAGGAAGUCCCAGCAUGUUUUAUCCUGUGCUUGCAGCAGAGAGAGGAAGGCUCGCGGUCCGAGUGCAGCUGCUCUGUGCUAUAGAUUGCACUCCCAGAUUGUCUUCCUGCCAGCUGCCCCCAACGCCAAACCGAAGGCUCCAGUGGGAAGAAGUGCUAAUUUAAGGAGCUCUCUCUGAAGCAAAGGCUCUUCACCCAGGAAGCCCAGCACAGCUCAAAUUAGCUUCGCUGCUGGCAACCUCAGCUGUAAAGCCAUGGUCUGAAACAGAAACACCUCCAGUCGUGAUCUCUCCUCAAUAAAAACUUAAUUUGCUGCUGCUUUGCCAUUCCCUUGCAAUGAUUUCAGAGGCCCCUGUGUAUGGAUCUGUCAAGAAGCAAAAUGCCAAGACAAAUUUAAAAGCAGCUUUAAAAUUACCUUGAAUCUAUACCGUUUGAUUGCUUUGCUGAUAAGAAAAACACUGAAUGAUUCCUAUCAGGAAAUCAAAAAACCAAUCAGAUUUCAGCUGUCUUCUCGGAGAGGCGCAGCGCAUCGGGGUUAGGAGCGAUGCAGCAGAAAUACCCUUCCAGGGGUCUUCCUGGUGACACACUGCAGGGGAGGGUGAGCCGGCCAAGAAUUCUCCUCCAGCUGUUUGUGGGUUUGUGCCACUGCGCUGCAAUAGUCCUCAGCUGCUUCUGUGUAUUUCUAAAGCUUCCCUCAGCUGUGUGUGUGAAAGCUGAGCACGAAACCCACCCAUCGGUUUGGCAUUUGGCUUCACCUGUCUCAGUGCGUCUGUACCACUGGAGCAC